UUCGAACAUGACCAGUGAACAUGUAACAUAACGCUGCCGGGGAGGAGCUUUCUCCUCGGCCCCCACCGGCCCUGGUUCUUUGGCCGGGUGCCGGAAUACGGCGCGAAAUGUCGCCAAGGAACACUGACUUGCUGAGGCGGACGGCAGCAUGCUCGUGCCGCUGAGGCCAACAAAAACAUUAUGACUCUCGGCAACGGAUAUCUCGGCUCUCGCAUCAAUAAAAAACGUACCGAAAUGCGAUACGUGGUGUGAAUUGCAAAAUCCCGUGAACCAUCAAGUCUUUGAACGCAAGUUGCGCCCAAGGGACCCUCCCAAGGGCACGCCUGCCUGGGCGUUAAAAGCCAAUCAACGCUCGUUCGUCUCUCUCCACAUAGCUUGUGGUUGGGGACCGGCCAAAUGCGAACAAUGGCCCUCCAAUCCAUGAAUGGCACGGUGGGCUGAAGUGCACGGUCGUCGUAUGGUGUUGGGAUCGGCGAGUGGUGGGCUACUGCGCAUGCCAAUCCCGGCCGCCAUGUCGGCAUAUGGCCUUUUUUGACCCCCUAACAAGGAAACUGUCGUCGCAGCAUCCUGUUGUGCGGCAUCUUCGGACCGAUACCCCAGGUCAGGCGGGGCCACCCGCUGAGUUUAAGCAUAUCAUAC
rnacentral:rRNA from 1 species